GAUGAAGAACGUAGCGAAAUGCGAUACGUAAUGUGAAUUGCAGAAUUCAGUGAAUCAUCGAGUCUUUGAACGCACAUUGCGCCCCCUGGUAUUCCGGGGGGCAUGCCUGUCCGAGCGUCAUUGCUGCCCUCAAGCACGGCUUGUGUGUUGGGCCCCCGCCCCCCGGUUCCCGGGGGGCGGGCCCGAAAGGCAGCGGCGGCACCGCGUCCGGUCCUCGAGCGUAUGGGGCUUCGUCACCCGCUCCGUAGGCCCGGCCGGCGCCCGCCGGCGACCCCCCAUCAAUCUUUCCAGGUUGACCUCGGAUCAGGUAGGGAUACCCGCUGAACUUAAGCAUAUCAAUAAGCGGAGGA
rnacentral:misc_RNA from 1 species